GCAGAUGUCGCCCAGACCAAAAGGUGAAGGUCAGCCUCCUAGGAAUGAGUCACGUGGGUGUCAUGCCUGCUUUGAUGUGGAGUGAUAAGUGGGACCGUUCACCUCUGUGCUGUUCCUCCGAAAACCAGUAACUGUGAUCCAAUCAGAGAAAACCCCAAGCCAACUCAGCCGGAGGAAAAUCCUGCAAAACAGCUGGCCAGUACUCGUCAAAAGUAUCAAGGUUAGAAAAGACAAAAGGAGACGGAGGAGCUGUCGCAGGCUGGAGGAGAGACGGGAGUCCUGACAAGUUAGUGCAAUGUAGGCUCCUGGUCUGGAUCCUGGAACAGAAAAAGGCAGUGAGUGGAAAGAUAGGGAAACUCAAACAAAGUCUACCGUUUGGCUAAUCGUAUUUUACCCACAAUAAUUCCUCAGAUUUGACCAACGGGCCGUGUUGAUACAAGAUCUUGACAUGAAAAAGUCUGGGGUGGAGGAACGGGGUGCCCAAGCAGACACAGGAAGAGAGGAGGGGAUGUGAAGUAGGAAGAGGACUGCACAGGUGGAGAGAGAGUGCAUCAGAGCCUGUGACCUGCGAGCCGAGGGCACCAACCCAGCUGUCUGGAUUUGGGACUGAGUUGAGGAGGCAGCACCAGGAGAA
rnacentral:lncRNA from 1 species